CUCACAAACUGCGAGAUCAUGACCUGAGCUAAAGUCACUCGCUUAAUCAACUGAGCCACUCAGGCGCCCCCAGAUGUAGGUUUAUAAUGUUUGUCAUGAAAUGCUUUUCUAGUAAUACUAAUAUAACUGUCUAGUACUAGUUUUCAUUAAUGUAGGAAAAUUCAUUUUGUCAAAAUUGAUUGUAUCUGUUGAUAUUUACUUCUAGGUACCCCUACUUCAAAUUCAAGAUGGUGUGAAAUCAGAAAAGCCCAAACUGAAGUCAUAAAUAACAGAAACCAUACAUGAUGUUAUAUCUCACAAAAUACAAGACUGAAAAAGAAAAAAUGCCAUUGGAUUCAAACUGUGGAAAGGACCAAUUCCAAAAAUAACAAUGUAACAAAACCAACUUUAUUUAUUGAUUCUCAGAAUCUUUCUGGUGAUCUGCUAAGGAGACUAAGGAAAUCCAAUGCGGCCUGCUCUCCAAACCCAAUACGCAGUGUGAAUUCAAAAUCUUGGGGCCAUGGGAAAAGGGGGCAUACGAGAAAACCUACAUAAAAAUCUGCUGGUA